GUGCUUACUUCGGCAGCACAUAUACUCAGAUUGGAACUAUACAGAGAAGAUUAGCACGGCCCCUGGGCAAGCGUGCUGCACAAAUUUGUGAGGCGUUCCACAUUUUU
ensembl:snRNA U6 U6 spliceosomal RNA